rnacentral:ncRNA from 1 species
UUAAUUUGACUCAAUAUGAGAAAACUCAUCGAGGAUGUAUGUGAAAAGGACUGACAGAUUGAUAGCUCUCAGUUCUAUGGAUGGUAGUAUGAGAUCAUUAGUUGGUGGAGAUAUUUUUCUGGUUAAUUCUGAUAAUGAAGGAGAAUCUGAUGAUCUACUAGUUACUCCUAUUUUACUCCUAUCUAUAAAAGCAGCUAACUUUUGGAAAUCAGCAACCAGUCCCACUCUAAAUACUUGAGACCUUGGUAUACCAAUAAACUCCUUUUAUCUUAUUUCUUGAGUUUGCCUUUUAAUGACUGGGGUGAGGCCUGAACCAGGAUUUUCUUUUAACAUCAACUCUCUUCAAGUC